rnacentral:siRNA from 1 species
GUCGCUUACCGUCGUCUUCGGUC